rnacentral:lncRNA from 1 species
CAGUGCUGUCCUGGGCCUGCACACGGAUCAGCCCACCUGUCCUCACAGCCCCACGAUGACGAGGCCCAGGGGCUGGACAGGCAGGAAAGGGCAGAGCUGGGAUGUGAACCCAGGCACUCCGCUCUAGGGUUCAUGCCCCAGCCCAACUAACUCUGCUUUUCUAUGGCAAUAAUGAGGAUGUUGAGAGUCCAAUAGCCAGCGUUUAAGGGGGCCUGGCUUUGGUCAGGGAUGUGCUAAGAAAUUUGAUUAUUCACACCCUCACGACACACGACUAUAUGUGUGAAUAUUAUGUCAGAUGAGGGCUAAUCGAAAAAACAAAACAAAGGAUAGGGAGUGGCAGGGUGAGCGAGAGGGCAGGUUGUUUAGCAGGAAGAUCCAGGGAGCCUGCUCUAAGGAAGUGAUAUCAAACAGAUUUGAAUUUAUAGCAUAUAAAUGAAAUUAGAAUAUAUGACCUUUUGUAUGUGGCUUCUUUCACUUAGCAAGGUAUUUUCAAAGUUCAUCCACAUUGUAGCAUGUAUCAACAAUUUAUUCCUUUUCAUGACUGAAUAAUAUUCCAUUGUAAGGAUAUACCACAUUGUGUUUAUCCAUUCAUGCGUUGAUAGAUCCAUCUUGGAGAAAGAUCAAUCUUGGAUCAAUCUUGGAGAAAGAUCGGCAAAGACCUAAAGGAUGGAACAGCUCUGGCCAAGGGACUAACACAUGCAGAGGCCUGAGAUGGAGAUGAAAGAGAAGAAUCUGAAGCACAGAGUGGUUAGGUAAGAAGGUCAAGAUUCCACAGCUUGUAAGUUUGGAGCUGGGAUUUGAGUCUGAAAUUUUAAAGGAACAAACAAAACUCUGCUACAGACCUUCUACCAACACCAGCUCUGCCUCGGGCGGCGCUGGUUCGAGCUCCCAGUAGAAGCGCGCACGCUGUUUACACUCUGCAUUUUAGGCGGAGAAGGCUUGAGAAGCGAGGAGACGCCCAGAGAAGGAGGAGGACAAGGAUGUUAGCCCUGGGCACGACAAUCUCAGCUUAAUCCUCUCACAGCCUUUGAGCCUGGUUGGAUUCACAGCCCCGUUUCACCAGUGCGGAAUACUGAGACACACGGAGUUCUUUAAGCUGCCUCAAGUCCUAAGGGGGUCAGGGGGCGGAGCUGGAAUUUGGACCCAGACAGUCUCAGACCAGAUCCAAGGUGUCUACCCACAGGUCCACGUUACUUUUGUCACAGGCCCUGCCGGCGUUUGACUCCACCAACUUAUAAUGCGGUCUCCUCACGUCCCCUCCCUACCUUCCACCUCUGUGGGAGGGGUGAGGCCAUCCAGCCCCGCCGUCCCGCUCCUCUUCCUGUAUCCCUUUGCUCUAGGACAGGCUUUUCCUCUUCCCGUCAGGCUAAAUCCUCAGAGUUUUCUUUCCUCAACACAUCGCCUGUUGCCGAAUCCUGCCAAACUGCCUCAAACCUAUUCAUUUCCUCUUCUCCACACCCUGAGCCCCAUUGACUCUUUCUUUCUCUCACUCACAAACUGGGAACGCAAAGACAAUCAGACAGGGCCCCACCCUCAAAGAGCUUACUGUCCAGCAGAAACCGAUGAGUAGACAAUUGGUAUACGAUGAAUAAGUUCACGGGCAAGGAGAACACAGGGUCAC